rnacentral:rRNA from 1 species
UACGAAGGUGGCAAGCGUUGUUCGGAUUUACUGGGCGUACAGGGAGCGUAGGCGGUUCGGUAAGCCCUCUGUGAAAUCUCCAGGCUUAACCUGGAACAGUCGGAGGGGACUGCUGGGCUAGGAGGACGGGAGAGGAGCGCGGAAUUCCCGGUGUAGCGGUGAAAUGCGUAGAGAUCGGGAGGAAGGCCGGUGGCGAAGGCGGCAUCCUGGACCGGCAUUGACGCUGACGGCGCGAAAGCCAGGGGAGCAAAGCGGG